AACGUGCCCAGAUCUACGGAAUAGCCACUGGAAACGGUGAGUAAUACCGUAUACGCCCUUUGGGGGAAAGAUUUAUCGGAUUUGGAUCGGCCCGCGUUAGAUUAGGUAGUUGGUGGGGUAACGGCCUACCAAGCCUACGAUCUAUAGCUGGUUUUAGAGGAUGAUCAGCAACACUGGGACUGAGACACGGCCCAGACUCCUACGGGAGGCAGCAGUGGGGAAUCUUGGACAAUGGGGGCAACCCUGAUCCAGCCAUGCCGCGUGAGUGAAGAAGGCCCUAGGGUCGUAAAACUCUUUCGCCUGUGAUGAUAAUGACAGUAGCAGGUAAAGAAACCCCGGCUAACUCCGUGCCAGCAGCCGCGGUAAUACGGAGGGGGUUAGCGU
rnacentral:rRNA from 1 species